UACGUAGGGGGCUAGCGUUGUCCGGAAUCAUCGGGCGUAAAGCUCGCGUAGGCGGCCCGGUAAGUCCGCUGUAAAAGUCAAAGGCUCAACCUUUGAAUGUCAGUGGAUACUGCCGGGCUAGAGUCCGGAAGAGGCGAGUGGAACUCCUGGUGUAGCGGUGGAAUGCGCAGAUAUCAGGAAGAACACCGACGGCGAAGGCAGCUCGCUGGGACGGUACUGACGCUGAGGCGCGAAAGCGUGGGGAGCGAACAGG
rnacentral:rRNA from 1 species